GCGGCUGUAGCCGCUCGGGGAAAGGCCCUCAGGGGUCGUCCGGAGAUGAGCCUGCGGUCCAUUAGCUGGUUGGUGUGGUAAAGGCGCACCAAGGCGACGAUGGAUAGCCGGCCUGAGAGGGUGAACGGUCACACUGGGACUGAGACACGGCCCAGAGUCGUACGGGAGGCAGCAGCUAAGAAUCUUCCGCAAUGGGCGCAAGCCUGACGGAGCGACGCCGCGUGAACGAAGAAGGCCGUGAGGUUGUAAAGUUCUUUUCCUGGGGAGGAAUAAGGCUCGGAGGGAAUGCCGAGUCGAUGACGUGAACCAGGGAAUAAGCCCCGGCUAAUUCCGUGCCAGCAGCCGCGGUAACACGGAAGGGGCAAGCGUUGUUCGGAUUUAUUGGGCGUAAAGGGCGUGUAGGCGGCAGUGCAAGUCUGGUGUGAAAUACUCCGGCUCAACCGGAGAGGCGCGCUGGAAACUGUGCUGCUUGAGUUUAGGAGGGGGAGCUGGAAUUCCUGGUGUAGGGGUGAAAUCUGUAGAGAUCAGGAAGAACACCGGAGGCGAAGGCGAGCUCCUGGCCAUAGACUGACGCUGAGGCGCGAAAGCCGUGGGGAGCGAACAGGAUUAGAUACCCUGGUAGUCCACGCUGUAAACGAUGUGCACUAGUUGUUGGGGAUGAUGAUCCUCAGUGCCGCAGCUAACGCGUUAAGUGCACCGCCUGGGGAGUAUGCUCGCAAGGGUGAAACUCAAAGGAAUUGACGGGGGCCCGCACAAUCGGUGGAGCAUGUGGUUUAAUUCGAUGAUACGCGAGAAACCUUACCAGGGCUUGACAUAUAGUGGACGGCUGUAGCGAUACAGCUUCCCUUCGGGGCCGCUAUACAGGUGCUGCAUGGCUGUCGUCAGCUCGUGCUGUGAAGUGUUGGGUUAAGUCCCGCAACGAGCGCAACCCCUGCCGUCUGUUGCCAUCAUUCAGUUGGGGACUCAGGCGGUACUGCCGGUGACAAACCGGAGCAAGGUGGGGACGACGUCAAGUCAUCAUGGCCCUUAUGUCCUGGGCUACACACGUGCUACAAUGGCCGGUACAGAGCGAAGCAAGACCGCGAGGUGGAGCAAAUCGCAGAAAACCGGUCUCAGUUCGGAUUGGAGUCUGAAACCCGACUUCAUGAAGGUGGA
rnacentral:rRNA from 1 species